AACUUUUAUCGAAAGGGCUUGUUUAUUUCUUGACUGUGAGGCUUCUAUUCUGGCACCCCACAGAAUUUCCUAUCUUCUUAUAUAAGGAAAUCUAUGAUUGGCAGAAGCUCCAGUCAAGAAGUGACAGGCCCUCUAGAGAGUGGACUCAAGUAAAAAAGCAUUGGUGACUGACCAUGGGUUGGCUUGCAUGGUUUGCUGUGCUCAGUGCUCUUUACAUAACAACAGAGAGCGCUCGCCCAUCGGAAGGAUUAGGCAAAUGCUUUCAUUAGCCUGAAAAGGUAAUCUAAACAUGUAGAUAUUUCGACCAAACAUUAUUCCAUGCUAGCUUAGAGUAAAGCAUGCAUCAUACAUGUCGGACACUAACAUCUUCAUUAAAUGAAUUAAGGGGUGGUUGUAUAUAGUUGAACAUCUUUCAACAGCCAUAACUUCGGCAUCCAAUUUCAAGAAAGCUUGGAAAGAGACCUUUAAAAUGAUACACAUUAUGGUAGCAGACAUAUUUGCCAUUUUUCGGCCUUGGACCACGGUCUAUAUCUAUGGUAUUGGGCCAAAAUUGGUAUAAUUAUUAUUUGGUCUCCUAAAUUCCUAAAUAUGAACAUAGUCAUUCAGCUGUAACAAGCAAUUCUCAAUGUACAGCUAGGCUAAAUAAUUAUUAGCUUAAACAGUUUUUGAAGAUGCAUGUCUAAUCUUUUGCUGCAAUGUCCGGCAUAAUUAUGAUGACCUCUGAUGAUUGAUACUUUACUGUAUAUAGCUAUUUGCUUUAUCGUAUUAUCAAUCCUAUAUAGGCUCCGGUAGAUAUCUAGCCUCGGUCCCAGGCCGAUUUUUUUUUAAUAGAAUGAAGUUGAAAAAUACGGCCUGGUAUUGAUUGUAUCUGGGCGUGGCAGGAAUCGGAAACUAAAGCAGAGAUUCUUCACAUUUGUUUCCUGCUUUUUUUCUGUAAUACUAAAGGUGUACGUAGAGGCAUUUUACUCCCGUAAAAGUUACAGUAAUGUAGCUCCGUGUCAUAUUCUCAAUUUAUAGCUAGCUAGCUAUGGCAUGCAACGCGUUGUCUUGUUUGAAGCAAGAUGGCCUCACUCUCAUGGCAGAACAGGCCCAGGCUCUCAAGCUCCUCUUUGAGGGAAGGGACGUGUUUAUCUGGUUCCCAACGGGGUAUGGCAAGUCUCUCUGCUAUAUCAGUUGCUACCCUUUUUAAUGGACUACAAGCUAGGUAUAUACUAGGUAGGACCAAGGCUCCUCCUGUUGACAAAAGUGUUGUUCUUGUUAAUUGAUAAUUUCACGUGUGCCUGCAAUUCUGGAUGUGUGGGAGGUGGUUUAACUUGCGACAGUAUACUAAUUAGUUUCAGCUCUUUAAUUAUCAAUAGGGAACUACAUAAAAUUACUAUAGUAUAGUUAGCUAGUAUCCAGCUUAUUAUUAUUGCAGAUAACUGUAACUUGGAGGCUGAUACUGGUUCAUGCUUUGCUCUCAUCCCUCGCUACUUCUUCAAUACAAAGACUGGAACGUGUGAGAUAUUCACUUACGGUGGCUGUGGUGGAAACGGCAACAACUAUAAGACUCUGCAGGAAUGCACUCAACAAUGCAACCCUAACGACUGUCCACCUAGCCUCGAUCCCAGGCCGAGUUUUCGCUUUUAUAACGGUUAGGCGAACAACUGGGCCUGGUACUAGUUGUCUGCGCAUGCGUCAGUCGUUCGUCAGAUUCUGACGAAUGGAUAUUCUCGUUCACUUUCGUGACAUUUAUAUUCGUGUACUAUCGUGUACUAGAAGUCAGUUCCCGUUUUAUCAUUAUUGGAAUCGAUUGGAAUGGCUCUUAGCUGAAGCUUCUCUCUUCUCUGAAGCUUAUUCUGAAGACUGAACAACAAGGGAAGAGGUAUAAAGCUUUGUCAAGCUUGUUAAGGUCAGAUAUUUUUGUGUGGGCCCUAUGGCCGGCUAUGCUAUCAAGUCUUGUUCAUGUUUGGCAAGAAUGUAGGUAGACUAUAGUUUCAUCAUUAAUAUGGUGGAUCAAGUGAAGAGUGUGAGCUAGAGAACUUGGUGCUGCCAUCAUCAGCUCGUCGACAAUGACACUAUAACCGAGAAAUUUAAUAUGUAUAGAUCUACACGUAUUUAAAAUGUCUACUUCUCUGUACAGGAGCAAUGGCUAAUAUCCAGCUAUCCCAACAGUGCUCCUCUUGGCUAUACUAACGGACGAGACUGGACAGUUUGAGGUAAGGGUUUAACCGUCUUUGGUUUCUUUUAAUAUUGUCCUAUACUCACAGGACUGGAGUAUGACCUGCUCAUUCGAGCGUUGCUGGGUAGCUCAGAGACAUCAAGAGAAUCUACGUUUCUCAAGCAAAAUUUAACUGAGUUACGAGUUGGGGCCUAGAAUCACAGAAGUCCAGCAGCCUGCUAAAUAUUUUUGAAACGUAAUUUGAAGGCAUUCAAUCAUCCUGAAGUUGCCCUGGGUCACUGUAAUUGUGCUGCAGCACAACUGGCAACUCCCCAGGCCUUUGUGAAGCAGCUCCCUAUGUGCAUCUUUUGUGUACUCACUCUGUGCAUUUUCUGUGUACAAAUUUCUAUUAUUGAUUUAUUAAAUAUUUUUGCCGACCACAAAUAUACAAUGAAAAUUUGACGCAUG